GUUACCAAACUGUUGCCUCGGCGGGGUCACGCCCCGGGUGCGUAAAAGCCCCGGAACCAGGCGCCCGCCGGAGGAACCAACCAAACUCUUUCUGUAGUCCCCUCGCGGACGUAUUUCUUACAGCUCUGAGCAAAAAUUCAAAAUGAAUCAAAACUUUCAACAACGGAUCUCUUGGUUCUGGCAUCGAUGAAGAACGCAGCGAAAUGCGAUAAGUAAUGUGAAUUGCAGAAUUCAGUGAAUCAUCGAAUCUUUGAACGCACAUUGCGCCCGCCAGUAUUCUGGCGGGCAUGCCUGUCCGAGCGUCAUUUCAACCCUCGAACCCCUCCGGGGGAUCGGCGUUGGGGAUCGGGACCCCUCACCGGGUGCCGGCCCUGAAAUACAGUGGCGGUCUCGCCGCAGCCUCUCCUGCGCAGUAGUUUGCACAACUCGCACCGGGAGCGCGGCGCGUCCACGUCCGUAAAACACCCAACUUCUGAAAUGUUGACCUCGGAUCAGGUAGGAAUACCCGCUGAACUUAAGCAUA
rnacentral:rRNA from 1 species